rnacentral:rRNA from 1 species
UACGUAGGGGGCAAGCGUUGUCCGGAGUUACUGGGCGUAAAGCGCACGCAGGCGGUCUCUUAAGUUUUGGAGUGACAGUUGGUGGCUUAACUGCCAAAGUGCUUCGAAAACUGAGAGACUUGAGGGCUUCAGAGGGACACGGAAUUCCGGGUGGAGUGGUGAAAUGCGUAGAGAUCCGGAGGAACACCAAAGGCGAAGGCAGUGUCCUGGGGAGUACCUGACGCUCGAGGUGCGAAAGCCAGGGGAGCGAAACGGG